UUUCUCUGUCUGCAUGAGGAGAAAUAAGCCACGCCCCCUCAUCUCAUCCAGCUGGGUACACAGCUCCUCACUUCCCCUCCCCCUGCUCUGUAUUCUAAGGACGCAGGUCUGCACAGGAGAAAGAACACAGAGAAGAUAAGUGAAGGGGAGGAUGAGAAGGUAAAUGUAGAAUAUAUUAGUCCCGGACUCAAUGCAAUAAACCUGUAGCUUCAACUGCUCAUAUCAGCCAGGCAGAGGGUCUGGGAGAAGAUGGACUUCAUGGAGCGCUCAGAGACAAACACCAGUGGUUUGAUUAACACACAUCUUUCAGCCUACAGAACCAUGGGUGAUGCCUCUACUGCUGCGUUGAAUACUUUUUGAUGCUACACUAAGGGGUAGACAAAAUAGAACACCUAUGGCAAACUGGAAAAGUACUGACCAAUGGUCAUAUCUGGUGACCCAUAAAUCCAUGGAGUCUGGG